AAAGAAAGAGGGAGGCAGGCUUAACACAUGCAAGUCGAACGCACCUUUCGGGGUGAGUGGCAGACGGGUGAGUAACGCGUGGGAAUCUACCCUUCUCUACGGGAUAGCUCCGGGAAACUGGAAUUAAUACCGUAUACGUCCUGAGGGAGAAAGAUUUAUCGGGGAAGGAUGAGCCCGCGUUGGAUUAGCUAGUUGGUGGGGUAAAGGCCUACCAAGGCGACGAUCCAUAGCUGGUCUAAGAGGAUGAUCAGCCACAUUGGGACUGAGACACGGCCCAAACUCCUACGGGAGGCAGCAGUGGGGAAUAUUGGACAAUGGGCGCAAGCCUGAUCCAGCCAUGCCGCGUGAGUGAUGAAGGCCCUAGGGUUGUAAAGCUCUUUCAGUGGGGACGAUAAUGACGGUACCCACAGAAGAAGCCCCGGCUAACUUCGUG
rnacentral:rRNA from 1 species